AACGAACGCUGGCGGCAGGCUUAACACAUGCAAGUCGAACGCUCGUAGCAAUACGGGAGUGGCGGACGGGUGAGUAACGCGUGGGAACGUGCCUCUUGCUACGGAAUAGCCUCGGGAAACUGGGAGUAAUACCGUAUGUGCCCUACGGGGGAAAGAUUUAUCGGCAAGAGAUCGGCCCGCGUUGGAUUAGGUAGUUGGUGGGGUAAUGGCCUACCAAGCCGACGAUCCAUAGCUGGUUUGAGAGGAUGAUCAGCAACACUGGGACUGAGACACGGCCCAGACUCCUACGGGAGGCAGCAGUGGGGAAUAUUGCUCAAUGGCCGAAAGGCUGAAGCAGCAACGCCGCGUGGAGGAUGAAAUACUUUUGUAUGUAAACUCCUGUAAGAAGGGAAAAUAUUUCGAUUUAUCGGAAUUGAUUGUACCUUCAGAGUAAGCACCGGCUAACUACGUG
rnacentral:rRNA from 1 species